rnacentral:rRNA from 1 species
UACGUAGGGUGCAAGCGUUGUCCGGAAUUAUUGGGCGUAAAGAGCUCGUAGGCGGUUUGUCGCGUCUGCUGUGAAAACCCGAGGCUCAACCUCGGGCCUGCAGUGGGUACGGGCAGACUAGAGUGCGGUAGGGGAGAUUGGAAUUCCUGGUGUAGCGGUGGAAAAUGCGCAGAUAUCAGGAGGAACACCAAUGGCGAAAGGCAGAUCUCUGGGCCCGUAAACUGACGCUGAGGGAGCGAAAGCAUGGGAGCGAAACAGG